rnacentral:rRNA from 1 species
AACGAACGCUGGCGGCAGGCUUAACACAUGCAAGUCGAACGCGUGCAGCAAUGCACGAGUGGCGCACGGGUGAGUAACGCGUGGAUAUCUGCCUUUUGGUUCGGAAUAACCCCGGGAAACUGGGGCUAAUACCGGAUGGUUCCUACGGGAUAAAGAUUUAUCGCCAAAAGAUGAGUCCGCGUCCGAUUAGCUAGUUGGUUAGGUAAUGGCUCACCAAGGCGACGAUCGGUAGCUGGUCUGAGAGGACGAUCAGCCACACUGGGACUGAGACACGGCCCAGACUACUACGGGAGGCAGCAGUGGGGAAUAUUGGACAAUGGGGGCAACCAUGAUCCAGCCAUGCCGCGUGAGUGAUGAAGGCCUUCGAGAUGUAAAGCUCUUUUGGAGGGGACGAUGAUGACGGUACCCGAAGAAUAAGCCCCGGCUAACUUCGUG